rnacentral:rRNA from 1 species
UGCAGAAUCCCGUGAUUCAUCGAGUCUUUGAACGCAAGUUGCGCCCGAGGCCUCGGCCGAGGGCACGUCUGCCUGGGCGACGCAC